UUGCUGCACAGGGGGAACACAAACAAAAACUGGUCACCUACUUUGGUCUGGCAGGGGGCUUAACAAUAAAGGAAACAGUUUGGCGAAUAAUGGCUAAACUGAUGACGAACCAGCUGGCCAAGCAAAUCAACUGGCGUGGAGAACAUGGGAAAUAUGGAUUUGAGCAGCUUGUCCUAAAAGAUGUUGUCCUCAAAUCAGUGCGGCAAAAUUCUGCAACUGCAAGCGCACCAGAUGGAGAAAUUGAAAAGUACAUAAAAAGGUGGUUGCAGCUGGCAUCGGACAGGGAUGGAGGAAGAAGGGAA